UCUUCUCAUCUUUUAUUAGGAUUCAUCAUAAUUGUCUGCUGGUUGUAAUGGACUUGCAAAAUCGCCAAUCCCAGCCAUGCCCCAAUUUUGAGUGUUCUUCAGUACAGGUUUCUAACACAUUGGCAUGACAGAUUUGAUGAGAAGUCAUAUUUUGAAGAAAAAGGACAAGAACCAUACAGUCAACAAGGUUCCUUGUUUGCUAACCAGUUGGCCGCUACCCUUCAAUCUCCCUGUUUACUUCCUUACACAGGUCCUAUUGAUUUGAGGGUAACUCUUUCGCGUCUGAUGACAUCAAGUCAUCAACUGUUAUAAACUGACGAGAGAAUGCUGCAAUUCAAGACUAGUGCAUUGUGUAGUUGUUAGAUAAAUGGCAAGUGCAUAUAUCUGGACUCCCUUCUUUUCUGUGGCCCCGUUUCCCUAACUAACCACUAACUAACUCCCGCCGGUGGUCACUCACCCGCUGUGAAACCAGGAGGAGGGGAGGGCUCUGGUCGAACGGGGACUUGGAAGGCGCAU